rnacentral:rRNA from 1 species
GACGAACGCUGGCGGCGUGCCUAAUACAUGCAAGUCGAACGGAGUGGCGGACGGGUGAGUAAUAUAUCGGAACGUGCCCAGUAGCGGGGGAUCACUACUCGAAAGCGUGGCUUAUUCCGCAUACUCUUGGAACUGCCGAUAUCGGAUUAGCUUGUUGGUGGGGUAACGGCUCACCAAGGCAACGAUCCGUAGCUGGUUUGAGAGGACGACCAGCAACACUGGAACUGAGACACGGCCCAGACUCCGACGGGAGGCAGCAGUGGGGAAUUUUGGACAAGGGGGGAAACCCGGAUCCAGCCAUCCGGCGGGUAUGAUGAAGGCCUUCGGGUUGUAAAGUACUUUUGGCGGAGAAGCGGUAUCUGCAGAAUAAGCACCGGCUAACUACGUGCCAGCAGCCGCGGUAAUAC